rnacentral:rRNA from 1 species
AUUGAACGCUGGCGGCAGGCUUAACACAUGCAAGUCGAGCGGAGCGGCGGACGGGUGAGUAACGCUUAGGAAUUUGCCUAUUAGCGGGGGACACCAUCUCGAACGGGAUGCUAAUACCGAUUACUAAUAGAUGAGCCUAAGUCGGAUUAGCUAGUUGGUGGGGUAAAGGACUACCAAGGCGACGAACUGUAGCCGGGCUGAGAGGAUGAUCCGCCAGCCUGGGACUGGGACACGGCCCAGACGCCUACGGGAGGCAGCAGUGGGGAAAAGUGGGCAAUGGGGGGAACCCUGAUCCAGCCAUGGCGCGUUGGGGAAGAAGGCCGUAGGGUUGUAAAGGACUGUAAGCGGGGAGGCGUUACUCGCAGAAUAAGCACCGGCUAACUCUGUGCCAGCAGCCGCGGUAAUUC